GGUUAAUAUUCCUGUACUUGGUGUUACUGCGAAGGGGGGACGGAGAAGGCUAUGUUAGCCGGGCGACGGUUGUCCCGGUUUAAGCAUGUAGGCUGGUUGUCCAGGCAAAUCCGGAUAAUCAAGGCUGAGGUGUGAUGACGAGGCACUACGGUGCUGAAGUAACAAAUGCCCUGCUUCCAGGAAAAGCCUCUAAGCAUCAGGUAACAUCAAAUCGUACCCCAAACCGACACAGGUGGUCAGGUAGAGAAUACCAAGGCGCUUGAGAGAACUCGGGUGAAGGAACUAGGCAAAAUGGUGCCGUAACUUCGGGAGAAGGCACGCUGGUGUGUAGGUGAAGUCCCUGCGGAUGGAGCUGAGACCAGUCGAAGAUACCAGCUGGCUGCAACUGUUUAUUAAAAACACAGCACUGUGCAAACACGAAAGUGGACGUAUACGGUGUGAC
rnacentral:rRNA from 1 species